CAUAAUGGCGGCAAGCAUGUUCCACCGAGAUGCGGCGGAUUCAGUUUAACGACACUGGUCUAAGUCGCGUUUUCCUCUCGCAUCUUUUGUUUCCUUGGAUUGUGUUACUUCAAAGGUUAUUUGAAAAAGUUGGUAAAGGGAUCCGCUCAACAGCUCUCCCUCUUGUCACCUGUUGGAAUUUACCCUAACAGGGCCUCACAGGUGGAUUAACCAGUUUGUGUAACUGUGCAAUCAUCAUUUUUAAAGCCAGCAUUUAGGCCACCACACAGUUCAG